rnacentral:tRNA from 1 species
GGAGAGAUGACCGAGUGGCUUAAGGUGCACGCUUGGAAAGCGUGUGUACGCCAAAAGUGUACCGAGGGUUCGAAUCCCUCUUUCUCCG